rnacentral:rRNA from 1 species
AAUAGAUACCCGGGUAGUCCUGGCCCUAAACGAUGUCUACUAGAUCGUGGGCGGCACUGACGCCGUCAUGGUCGAAGCAAAAGUGUUAAGUAGACCGCCUGGGAAGUACGGUCGCAAGGCUAAAACUCAAAGAAAUUGACGGGGGCUCACACAAGCGGUGGAGCAUGUGGUUCAAUUCGAAGCAACGCGAAGAACCUUACCUGGGCUUGACAUGCUAGGAUUAUCUUGAUGAAAGUCGAGUAGGCCCCGCAAGGGGUACAACUAGUACAGGUGCUGCAUGGCUGUCGUCAGCUCGUGUCGUGAGAUGUCGGGUUAAGUCCCUUAACGAGCGAAACCUUUGCCCUUAGUUGCCAUCGGGUUAUGCCGGGCACUCUAAGGGGACUGCCGGUGUCAAACCGGAGGAAGGUGGAGAUGACGUCAAGUCCUCAUGGCCUUUAUGCCCAGGGCUACACACGUGCUACAAUGGCGUCCACAAAGCGAGCCGAGAGCGCAAGCUGGAGGAAAUCGCAGAAAUGACGCCCCAGUUCAG